UACGAAGGGGGCUAGCGUUGUUCGGAAUUACUGGGCGUAAAGGGCGCGUAGGCGGUCCCUCAAGUCAGGCGUGAAAGCCCCGGGCUCAACCUGGGAACCGCGCUUGAGACUGGUGGGCUAGAGUUCGGGAGAGGAUGGUGGAAUUCCCAGUGUAGAGGUGAAAUUCGUAGAUAUUGGGAAGAACACCGAUGGCGAAGGCGGCGUUCUGGACUGUUACUGACACUGAGGAACGAAAGCCAGGGGAGCAAACGGG
rnacentral:rRNA from 1 species